rnacentral:rRNA from 1 species
CUUGCUACUUUUGCCGGCGAGCGGCGGACGGGUGAGUAAUGUCUGGGAAACUGCCUGAUGGAGGGGGAUAACUACUGGAAACGGUAGCUAAUACCGCAUAACGUCGCAAGACCAAAGAGGGGGACCUUCGGGCCUCUUGCCAUCAGAUGUGCCCAGAUGGGAUUAGCUAGUAGGUGGGGUAACGGCUCACCUAGGCGACGAUCCCUAGCUGGUCUGAGAGGAUGACCAGCCACACUGGAACUGAGACACGGUCCAGACUCCUACGGGAGGCAGCAGUGGGGAAUAUUGCACAAUGGGCGCAAGCCUGAUGCAGCCAUGCCGCGUGUAUGAAGAAGGCCUUCGGGUUGUAAAGUACUUUCUGCGGGGAGGAAGGUG